rnacentral:rRNA from 1 species
AUUGAACGCUGGCGGCAGGCCUAACACAUGCAAGUCGAGCGGCAGCGGGACCUUCGGGUUGCCGGCGAGCGGCGGACGGGUGAGUAACACGUAUGCAACCUACCUUUUACUGGGGAAUAGCUCAGAGAAAUCUGAAUUAAUACCCCAUAACACUGCGUUCUGGCAUCAGAAUGCAGUUAAAGCUCCGGCGGUAAAAGAUGGGCAUGCGGAACAUUAGCUAGUUGGUGAGGUAAUGGCUCACCAAGGCUACGAUGUUCAGGGGGUCUGAGAGGAUGAUCCCCCACACUGGUACUGAGACACGGACCAGACUCCUACGGGAGGCAGCAGUAGGGAAUAUUGGUCAAUGGACGAAAGUCUGAACCAGCCAUGCCGCGUGCAGGAUGACUGUCCUAUGGAUUGUAAACUGCUUUUUUACGGGAAGAAACCCCUGGAUGCGUCCGGGGCUGACGGUACCGUAAGAAUAAGGAUCGGCUAACUUCGUGCCAGCCGCCGCAGUAAGAC